AAUCUUUCGCAAUGGGCGAAAGCCUGACGCAGCGACGCCGCGUGAGUGAAGAAGGCCUUCGGGUUNUAAAACUCUGUCCUCAGGGANGAAGCAAGUGACGGUACCUAAGGAGGAAGCCCCGGCUAACUACGUGCCAGCAGCCGCGGUAAUACGUAGGGGGCAAGCGUUGUCCGGAAUUAUUGGGCGUAAAGGGUGCGUAGGCGGCCUUUUAAGUCAGAUGUGGAAGCCCACGGCUUAACCGUGGGACUGCAUUUGAAACUGGAGGGCUUGAGUAUCGGAGAGGGUAGGGGAAUUCCCAGUGUAGCGGUGGAAUGCGUAGAUAUUAGGAGGAACACCAGUGGCGAAGGCGACUACCUGGACUGAUACUGACACUGAGGUGCGAAAGCGUGGGGAGCAAACA
rnacentral:rRNA from 1 species